CAGCCCCCAAGGCCCGGAAGCGAAAGCUGCUCCGCCUCUUCCCCGCGGGGUCACGGCCUGGCCGGCGCGAGGCGGGAUUCCGAGAGGGCAGGGCUCUCAGGGGUCAGGGCAGUGCCUGGCGGGCGCCAUGGCCCGGAACCUGCGGACUGCGCUCAUUUUCGGCGGCUUCAUCUCCCUGGUCGGCGCCGCCUUCUACCCCAUCUACUUCCGGCCCCUAAUGCGGCCGGAGGAGUACCAAUUGGCUAUCGAGAUUCGCAUAAUCCCUAUUGCUCAAUGUUUUAUUUGCCAAAGCAAAACUUAGCAUUGAUGAAAGUAUCAGAGAAGGAACAAGCCAUAAAUCGAGCUGGUAUUGUUCAAGAAGAUGUACAGCCACCAGGGUUGAAAGUGUGGUCUGAUCCAUUUGGCAGGAAAUGAGAAGGCUGUCACCGACUCAGAUUGUAAAAGACAUCUUCAUGCUUCCGAUUCUGCAGCAAGUCCAAUAAAUCACCUCGCCAUUGAACAAUGGCUGGAGAAGAAAACUAAUAAUACCAUAAACGAGUACUGUGCACACAGAUUAGUAUUUCCCUUCCUAAGUAUCGAAAGAACCCUGGAACAAAUCACCAUUAGGAAGGUUAUAACGAUUUGGUGUACUUUCUAGAAAUGAAGCCAUCUCACCCAGCUGUGUUUGGAGAUUUUCUUAUUAUUCAGUCUCUAUUACUUACCCAACUGUGCCGUGAUAUGAAUAUAAGCAACCAGGAGACUUGGGAAGAUCCUCGUCUGUUUUUCCAUCUUCCAAAUAGGAAAUUUCAGUGAAAAAUCACCAUGCUGAGCAGCCUCAUAGGGCUCGUUGAAAAUGUUAAAGUUCAUAAAAUGCUUCGAGGACAAGGCUCAUUGUAAUCUUUAAGAAAAACAGUUUAGCUGAACUACUGUCUCAUCGAAGGUUGCUGCAUGUUGGAAAUAAAUAAAUAUGAAGCAAGUCAAACUAAAUGGGAAUGCAUGCAUAGUAGAAAUCAAUGUUGAAUUAACAGAAAUAAAAAUGUGUAUAUUAAAGUGAGUUCUUUUUACUUCA